CAGCAGCCACGGUAAUACGUAGGGUGCAAGCGUUAAUCGGAAUUACUGGGCGUAAAGCGUGCGCAGGCGGUUAUAUAAGACAGAUGUGAAAUCCCCGGGCUCAACCUGGGAACUGCAUUUGUGACUGUAUAGCUAGAGUACGGCAGAGGGGGAUGGAAUUCCGCGUGUAGCAGUGAAAUGCGUAGAUAUGCGGAGGAACACCGAUGGCGAAGGCAAUCCCCUGGGCCUGUACUGACGCUCAUGCACGAAAGCGUGGGGAGCAAACAGGAUUAGAGACCCCUGUAGUCCCUGUCUCUUAUAC
rnacentral:rRNA from 1 species